rnacentral:rRNA from 1 species
GGCUCAGAUUGAACGCUGGCGGCAUGCCUUACACAUGCAAGUCGAACGGCAGCACGGGAGCAAUCCUGGUGGCGAGUGGCGAACGGGUGAGUAAUAUAUCGGAACGUACCUUUCAGUGGGGGAUAACGUAGCGAAAGUUACGCUAAUACCGCAUAUUCUGUGAGCAGGAAAGCAGGGGAUCUUAGGACCUUGCGCUGAUUGAGCGGCCGAUAUCAGAUUAGCUAGUUGGUGAGGUAAAGGCUCACCAAGGCGACGAUCUGUAGCGGGUCUGAGAGGAUGAUCCGCCACACUGGAACUGAGACACGGUCCAGACUCCUACGGGAGGCAGCAGUGGGGAAUUUUGGACAAUGGGGGCAACCCUGAUCCAGCCAUGCCGCGUGAGUGAAGAAGGCCUUCGGGUUGUAAAGCUCUUUCGGCCGGGAAGAAAUCGCAUGGGUUAAUACCCUGUGCGGAUGACGGUACCGGCAUAAGAAGCACCGGCUAACUACGUG